CUGCUGUCUCCAUGACAACGCCAGGCCCACCAGAUGAAGACGAGGAAGAUGAAGAGGAUGAGGUUUUUUUUUUUAUAACGAAGGAAACCACUUGUGGGUCACAUCCCAUAAUGCCGUGCAUGGGGAGGUUCCCAUAGCAACAGACCUAUCAGCUUGUCCGGGACGACGCCGGACGCUUUCGGAGCGCGUCGGUCGGGGAUUCGAACCCUCAACCUCCUGGAUUAUCCCCCCCCCACUGAGCACGAUGCCUGCACCUUAAACCCCUGAACCUCCCCUUUAAGACCCCCCUGAACCUCCCCUUUAAGACCCCCCAGGCACCUCCCCUAUAAGACCCCCUGAACCUCCCCUUUAAGACCCCCCUGAACCUCCCCUUUAAGACCCCCCUGAACCUCCCCUUUAAGACCCCCCAGGCACCUCCCCUAUAAGACCCCCUGAACCUCCCCUUUAAGACCCCCCUGAACCUCCCCUUUAAGACCCCCCUCCCACCUCCCCUUUAAGACCCCCCUCCCACCUCCCCUUUAAGACCCCCCUGAACCUCCCCUUUAAGGACCCCCGUAUUCCACCACUUUAAGACCCCCCAGCCACCGUCCAUUUAAUAUGCCUGUAUCACCGCCCCUUUAAGACCCCCCUCAGCACAGACACCAGAGCUGGGGGGUGAGGCGACGGGGGGGUGAGGGGGUGAGGGGCGGAAAGGGUGUCACGCAUGACCUGGGUUGCCGUGGAAACAGGCUAAGGAAUGCCGGACGGUUUAUCCGAGUGCCAAAGCUGGAAGUGGAAGGUCCGGACUCCAGCGGACCAGGACCCCCCAGUCCCCAGGACCCGCGAGUCCCCAGGACCCCCCAGUCCCCAGGACCCCCCCCUUCCCCCCCCGGCCCCCCUGUACAUACGGAUGUCGGUUGGUUUUGUUGAACAUCUGUUAUAGAUUUGUACAAUUUUACAUGAAGAAAUUUGUUACAUUUUGUAAACAGGAGUAAACUACACACACACACACACACACACACACACACACACACACACACACACACACACACACACACACACACACACACACACACACACACACACACACACACAGCAGAUCUCUCUCCAGUCUGCGUCUUCUAAGUAUUUGGUCUCUAAAACUACGGUGCCAGCAGUGUGUGUUCACGUGCACAGCGUGGGCGUGCACGUUUAUUUUGUACUCCCCCAGCCUUGUGGAACCACUAGACUCCCAGACCGGGUUCUGACCCGGUCUGCACCGGACCCUCCUCACAGGAAGAGGAGGAGCUUCAGAUGAAGUGGAGGAGGAAGACGAAGGUCUAAGAGCGCCCCUAGUCCUGGUCGAGACCUGGUCUUAGUCCUGGUCGAGACCUGGUCUUAGUCCUGGUCGAGACCUGGUCUUAGUCCAGGUCGAGACCUGGUCUUAGUCCUGGUCGAGACCUGGUCUUAGUUCAGGUCUAGACCUGGUCUUAGUCCAGGUCUAGACCUGGUCUUAGUCCAGGUCUAGACCUGGUCUUAGUCCUGGUCGAGACCUGGUCUUAGUCCUGGUCGAGACCUGGUCUUAGUCCUGGUCGAGACCUGGUCUUAGUCCAGGUCUAGACCUGGUCUUAGUCCUGGUCGAGACGUCUUGGACCAGCAGUCCUUUGAGGACGCACUGUGUGAAUCAGAACAAAACAGGACUUCUUCAACACAUGCACACACACGCAUAUAUGGUACACACGCAUGCAUGGUACACACGCACACAUAUGGCACACAAACAAACACACACACUCCGACAAACAGAGCUCAAUGCAUCUCAAAUUCCUGCUGCCUGAACUGUUGUUAACCUGUCUAGUAGUCUCUCUCCCCUCGCUCUCCCUCUGUGUAACUGUUCAGUGUGUUUUGUUGUGUGUCGGCCCAUCCACGUCUGUAGAGGGUUAGCAGCACAGCUUCCCUCCAGUCGGCUCAAAGGAGCUCCGCGCGACGCAGCGUCCGACCGCUGUAGUCCGCUCUGUAGCCGCGCAUGGCCGCUCAUGUAUCAAUACUGUACAACGCUUCUGAUAGGCUGGCCUCUCGCUGGACCCCCUCUCAGACCUGGACCUGGGUUAGACCCUAUCUAGACGGCACUCUGACCCGACCUAGACCUGAGUUAGACUCGAUCUAGACUGGCUCUAGGUGUGCCCCCUGGCCCGUUGACCCUCAGCUCGUCACGCUGGUGUAGACGCCGCUGGACCCCGACGCCGUGAAUGAGUGACCGACAAAUGAAUGAAUGAAAUACUGAAGGGCCGCCCACCGCCGGUGGAGCCCCGUGUUCAGGGUGACCCGCUGAAUGUGGACCCAGGAAGACCCAGCUAGCUGAUGGCUAGGUAGCUGAUAGCUAGCUGAUGGCUAGCUGCCAGCUAGCUGAUGAAUAGGUAGCUGCCAGCUAGCUGAAGGCUAGGUAGCCGCCAGCUAGCUGACGGCUAGGUAGCCGCCGGCUAUCUGACGGCUAGGUAGCCGCCGGCUAGCUGACGGUUAGGUAGCCGCCGGCUAGCUGACGGUUAGGUAGCCGCCGGCUAGCUGACGGCUAGGUAGCCGCCAGCUAGCUGAUUGCUAGGUAGCCGCCAGCUAGCUGAUGGCUAGGUAGCUGCCAGCUAGAGGGUAGCUGCCAGCUAGAGCGCUGCAAACCAGCUGAUAGCUAGAUAGCUUCCAGAUAAAGAGCUUCUAGAAAGGUACUUGCUUGACUGUUGGUUUCUAGCGAGCCGCUAGGUGGUUUUCUAGCUAAGUAGCUGCUGGACAGAUAGCUGCUAACUAGGCAAUGUAGCUGCUAGCUAGAUUAUAUGGUUCUAUCUUGAGUUUCUAUCUUGAUCGCUGAUGUUCUGCUAGUUGCUGGCUACGUUACCUCCAGGCAGCAGCUUUCAUCUUCUGAUAAACUGCUCAAGUGUGGCGUUAACGAGUUGACUAGCUGAGCUGGGUGGUGAUGGUUAGAAGCUAGCUAGAUAGCUAGCAGCUGCUAAUGAAGAAGCCACCAGUUCUUCUGUGAUAACUUCCUGGUUCAAACUGUUUCUUGACUCGUCUUGCUUUGCUUCGGUUCCCCAGACGUCGGUACUCCUCCAAACCGCCCCAAUCCGGUUCUGCUCACUCUGCACUUUUCGAAGUAAAAGUCCUGCCGUGUUCGGACGCUGGGAGGAAUCGUACGGGAAUGGUUUCGGGGGGGAGGGCAGGGGUGCUGAGGGGAUCCCCUCCAUGUGGAGGUCAGAGGUCAGAGGUCAGUCGGGCUCCAUUCUGCUUCUCCUCACGCCCCCCCCCCCGCUGGGCUGUAGGGCAGGGGGGCUCCAUGCCUGGACUCCGCCUCCUCUCUGGUCCCCAACGGAUCAAAUGUAUUCAGCUCUUUGGUAUAAUCUUUGAGUCCAAAGGUACUUAUUCAUGUGGACAUCUCGCUACAUCGAGGCACGCCCCCAAGAGCACUUGUAUGAACCUUCAUUAACGUAUGUAGCAUUAGAUUGGUUCAAUGAGAUGUCGUGUUGAGAUGUUGUCCCGCCCCUUUCGCCCGGAGCAGCCACUCAGGCUGCUGCUGUGUGCUUCAAUAAAUACAACUGCCUUCUCAAA